rnacentral:rRNA from 1 species
UACGAAGGGUGCAAGCGUUACUCGGAAUCACUGGGCGUAAAGCGUGCGUAGGUGGUUUUUUAAGUCUGUCGUGAAAGCCCUGGGCUCAACCUGGGAACGGCGAUGGAUACUGGAAAGCUGGAGUGCGGUAGAGGGGUGUGGAAUUCCCGGUGUAGCGGUGAAAUGCGUAGAGAUCGGGAGGAACACCAGUGGCGAAGGCGGCACCCUGGACCAGCACUGACACUGAGGCACGAAAGCGUGGGGAGCAAACAGG